UACAGAGGGUGCAAGCGUUGUUCGGAAUUAUUGGGCGUAAAGCGCGUGUAGGCGGCUUUGCAAGUCGGGUGUGAAAGCCCUCAGCUUAACUGAGGAAGUGCGCCCGAAACUGCAGAGCUUGAAUACCGGAGAGGAUGGCGGAAUUCCCCAAGUAGAGGUGAAAUUCGUAGAUAUGGGGAGGAACACCGGUGGCGAAGGCGGCCACCUGGACGGUAACUGACGCUGAGACGCGAAAGCGUGGGGAGCAAACAGG
rnacentral:rRNA from 1 species